UUAUGCAAACAUGCCUUAUUAUAUAAAAUAUCUAGUGACUUUUUCGUUACUGCGUCAAAAGUGGUAGUAUGUAGCACAAACCUUAUCGUUUUCCGUCAAAAGUGUUCAAGGUGGAAGUCAUUGACGCCAUUUCGUACCUCGUUUCGCUGUUAGCGUCACGAAAGUUUCUUCUCUUUUUACUUUAAUUUCAUUUCGCCAAAACGUCGCAACAACAUUGAUCGAAAAUCUGAAAACUUUUGUGGCCUUGAAAAAUAUAUAAGCGUCUUUGCGUUUCCCGGAAUAUGGACACCGAACAG